rnacentral:rRNA from 1 species
ACAUCCAAGGAAGGCAGCAGGCGCGCAAAUUACCCAAUCCCGACACGGGGAGGUAGUGACAAUAAAUACUGAUACAGGGCUCUUUUGGGUCUUGUAAUUGGAAUGAGUACAAUUUAAACCUCUUAACGAGGAACAAUUGGAGGGCAAGUCUGGUGCCAGCAGCCGCGGUAAUUCCAGCUCCAAUAGCGUAUAUUAAAGUUGUUGCAGUUAAAAAGCUCGUAGUUGAAACUUGGGUCUGGCUGGCAGGUCCGCCUCACCGCGUGUACUUGUCCGGCCGGGCCUUCCUUCUGGAGAACCUCAUGCCCUUCACUGGGCGUGUUGGGGACCAGGACUUUUACUUUGAAAAAAUUAGAGUGUUCAAAGCAGGCCUUUGCUCGAAUACGUUAGCAUGGAAUAAUAGAAUAGGACGUGCGGUCCUAUUUUGUUGGUUUCUAGGACCGCGUAAUGAUUAAUAGGGACAGUCGGGGGCAUCAGUAUUCAAUUGUCAGAGGUGAAAUUCUUGGAUUUAUUGAAGACUAACUACUGCGAAAGCAUUUGCCAAGGAUGUUUUCAUUAAUCAGUGAACGAAAGUUAGGGGAUCGAAGACGAUCAGAUACCGUCGUAGUCUUAACCGUAAACUAUGCCGACUAGGGAUCGGGCGAUGUUCUUUUUCUGACUCGCUC